UGGGGAAUAUUGCGCAAUGGGGGGAACCCUGACGCAGCCAUGCCGCGUGAAUGAAGAAGGCCUUCGGGUUGUAAAGUUCUUUCGGUAUUGAGGAAGGUUGAUGUGUUAAUAGCACAUCAAAUUGACGUUAAAUACAGAAGAAGCACCGGCUAACUCCGUGCCAGCAGCCGCGGUAAUACGGAGGGUGCGAGCGUUAAUCGGAAUAACUGGGCGUAAAGGGCACGCAGGCGGUUAUUUAAGUGAGGUGUGAAAGCCCUGGGCUUAACCUAGGAAUUGCAUUUCAGACUGGGUAACUAGAGUACUUUAGGGAGGGGUAGAAUUCCACGUGUAGCGGUGAAAUGCGUAGAGAUGUGGAGGAAUACCGAAGGCGAAGGCAGCCCCUUGGGAAUGUACUGACGCUCAUGUGCGAAAGCGUGGGGAGCAAACAGGAUUAGAUACCUUGGUAGUCCACGCUGUAAACGCUGUCGAUUUGGGGGUUGGGGUUUAACUCUGGCGCCCGUAGCUAACGUGAUAAAUCGACCGCCUGGGGAGUACGGCCGCAAGGUUA
rnacentral:rRNA from 1 species